rnacentral:rRNA from 1 species
CAGUCGUACCGGCGGAUAAUCAGCCUUUCGGGUGCGAUUCUGUGGGGCGUGAAGAGUUUAACCGCCUUCAUGUUUUGCAUAUUCGUGCACAUUUGGUGUACUUGUCCGUGUGGUGGGUUAACAUCAAUUUCGGACGUCAUAAAAUGAUGUUAACCUACCACACGGGCAAGUACACCCAAGAGCACGAAUACGUAAAACAUGAGGGUGAUUAAACUCCUCACAAUCCACAUAAUCACACUCAAAAAAGCUGAUUGUCCG